GAUAAACGCUGGCGGCGUGCUUAACACAUGCAAGUCGAACGGGGUGGUUCUCCCGAGGAUUGACGGUGCUUGCACCUGAUUGACUCAUUUGAAUCACUUAGUGGCGGACGGGUGAGUAACGCGUGGGUAACCUGCCUUGCACAGGGGGACAACAGUUGGAAACGACUGCUAAUACCGCAUAAGCCGGUAGGACCGCAUGGUCUAUCCGGAAAAGAUUUAUCGGUGCAAGAUGGGCCCGCGUUGGAUUAGUUAGUUGGCGGGGUAACGGCCCACCAAGACCGCGAUCCAUAGCCGACCUGAGAGGGUGAUCGGCCACAUUGGGACUGAGACACGGCCCAAACUCC
rnacentral:rRNA from 1 species